CAUGGAGGGUGAGAAUCCCGUCCGGCUGACCUUCAGGACGUUUUACGAUACGCUCUCAAAGAGUCGAGUUGUUUGGGAUUGCAGCUCAAAAUGGGAGGUAAAUUUCUCCUAAGGCUAAAUACCGGCGAGAGACCGAUAGCGAACAAGUACCGUGAGGGAAAGAUGAAAAGAAUUUUGAAAAGAAAGCCAAACAGUACGUGAAAUUGUUGAAAGGGAAACGAUUGAAGCCAGUCGUACCGACGGGAAUUCAACUUCUCGAGUGCUAAUCGUGGGUGACGUUGAGCCUCACGGCCCUCGUUGCUUGUGUUGUUGGUGCUUUUGGGGUGUACUUUUCCGUAUGGUAGGUCAGCAUCGAUUUCGAUCGUCAUAAAAUGAUCGGGGGAAUGUAGCUUCGGUCUCGUAUCGGAGUGUUAUAGACCUUGGUAGAUGUGACGAUCGGGAUCGAGGAUUGCAACGAAUACCCUUUGGGCUAUCCGUCUGACCUCUGAAAGUCGCUCGGGUGUCGAAAGCGUGCUUAUGGCUAUUCGAGUUGGCGGUCAAUAGGUUAGAACGUGAUUAUAUUCGUUAAGGAUGUUGACGUAAUGG
rnacentral:rRNA from 1 species